rnacentral:rRNA from 1 species
UAUCUCUGUAGAGUCUGCAUAUCAAUAAGCGGAGGAAAAGAAACUAACUAGGAUUCCCUUAGUAACGGCGAGUGAAGCGGGAAGAGCUCAAAUUUGAAAUCUUCAAGGUUUUACCUUGACGAAUUGUAGUUUAAAGAAGUGUUUUCUGUUGAAGUUUCGGUAAAAGUUCUUUGGAAUAGGACAUCAUAGAGGGUGAGAAUCCCGUAUUUGACCGUUAUUUUCAGCUGCGUGAUACACUUUCAAAGAGUCGGAUUGUUUGGGAAUGCAGUCCAAAAUGGGUGGUAAAUUUCAUCUAAAGCUAAAUAUUGGCGAGAGACCGAUAGCGAACAAGUACCGUGAGGGAAAGAUGAAAAGAACUUUGAAAAGAGAGUUAAACAGUACGUGAAAUUGUCAAAAGGGAAGCGUUUGACACCAGUGUUGUUUCCUCGAAAAUCAAUUAAAAAUGGCUUGAUUUUGUGUUGUAUUGACCUUAAAAGCUUUCUUCACUUUUUUCAUGUCUUUUUUAAUGCACUUUUCGUUUAACAAGUCAACAUCAGUUUCUUUUGUUGUAAAAAGGUCAUUGGAAGGUGGCUUUCUUUUCGGAGAAAGUGUUUAUAGCCUUUGACUUCUGCAAUCGGAGAGACUGAGGUCUGCAGCGUAGAUCCUUCUGGAUUAGAUUCAUUUGUGCUAAGUUACAACCGUUUAUAGACAACUUGUUGACUAUAUUCGAUCCUGUAGCUUACUCGCUUAUGUAAUUUUACCUACGCUUAGGAUGUUGAAGAUGUAGCACAUCAU